AUUGAACGCUGGCGGCAUGCUUUACACAUGCAAGUCGAACGGCAGCGCGGGCUUCGGCCUGGCGGCGAGUGGCGAACGGGUGAGUAAUGCAUCGGAACGUGCCCAGUAGUGGGGGAUAGCCCGGCGAAAGCCGGAUUAAUACCGCAUACGACCUGAGGGUGAAAGCGGGGGACCGAAAGGCCUCGCGCUAUUGGAGCGGCCGAUGUCGGAUUAGCUAGUUGGUGGGGUAAAGGCUUACCAAGGCGACGAUCCGUAGCUGGUCUGAGAGGACGACCAGCCAUAGUGGAACGGGGCACCGGCCGAGCACGCGGGGGGCGGGAGGGGGGGGGAAGUGUGGGCAGGGGGGGAAACCCUCGGGCGGCCAGGCCGCGGGGGAGAGGAGGGAGUGCGGGUUGUAAUGCGCUUGUGUGCGGGAGGAAAUCCUGGGGGCCAAGCCGGGGGGGGGAGGACGUGAAGGGAAGAAUAAUCAGAGGCAAAAUGCGUGCGAGCAGCCGGGGUAAUGAGGGAAGAGAAAACGUCUGAAC
rnacentral:rRNA from 1 species